UACGGAGGGGGCUAGCGUUGUUCGGAAUUACUGGGCGUAAAGCGCACGUAGGCGGCUUUGUAAGUUAGAGGUGAAAGCCCAGGGCUUAACCCUGGAAUUGCCUUUAAGACUGCAUCGCUAGAAUCGUGGAGAGGUGAGUGGAAUUCCGAGUGUAGAGGUGAAAUUCGUAGAUAUUCGGAAGAACACCAGUGGCGAAGGCGACUCACUGGACACGUAUUGACGCUGAGGUGGCGAAAAGCGUGGGGAGCAAACAGG
rnacentral:rRNA from 1 species